UACCAGCACCCCGAGUGGUCGGGACGUUUUAUUGGGCCUAAAGCAUCCGUAGCCGGUUCUGCAAGUCUUCCGUUAAAUCCACCUGCUUAACAGAUGGGCUGCGGAAGAUACUAUAGGGCUAGGAGGCGGGAGAGGCAAGCGGUACUCAGUGGGUAGGGGUAAAAUCCUCUGAUCCAUUGAAGACCACCAGUGGCGAAGGCGGCUUGCCAGAACGCGCUCGACGGUGAGGGAUGAAAGCUGGGGGAGCAAACGGG
rnacentral:rRNA from 1 species